rnacentral:tRNA from 1 species
AACUAAUAAACUACAAAAUUCAUUUUCUCAAAAAAUUAAAGAGGCCUUUUCUAUAUUAACUU